rnacentral:rRNA from 1 species
AACGAACGCUGGCGGCAUGCCUAACACAUGCAAGUCGAACGAGACCUUCGGGUCUAGUGGCGCACGGGUGCGUAACGCGUGGGAACCUGCCCUUAGGUUCGGAAUAACUCCCCGAAAGGGGUGCUAAUACCGGAUAAUGUCUUCGGACCAAAGAUUUAUCGCCUUUGGAUGGGCCCGCGUUGGAUUAGCUAGUUGGUAGGGUAAAAGCCUACCAAGGCGACGAUCCAUAGCUGGUCUGAGAGGAUGAUCAGCCACACUGGGACUGAGACACGGCCCAGACGCCGACGAGAGGCAGCAGUGGGGAAGAUUGGACAGGGGGCGAAAGCGUGAUCCAGAAAUGCCGCGGGAGAGAAGAAGGCCUUAGGGUUGUAAAGCUCUGUUAACCGGGAUGAUAAGGACAGUACCGGGAGAAUAAAAGCCGGCUAACUCAGUG